GUAAAGUUUUAUUUUGGCUUUAAAUUUUAUUUAUGGUUUAUUUUAUAUGUAAUUUUUUGAAUGGAUUAAUUUUUAUUUUAAUAGUAAAUAUUUUUUUAUAAAAUUCGCAGUAAUUAAUAUUAUUAAUUAAAGAAAUUUAGAAAUAGUAAUAUUAUAUAGUAUUGACUAAAUUUGUGCCAGCAGUCGCGGUUAUACAAAUAAUGCAAAUGAAAUGACUCAGUUAAAGUUAAAUUUAAUUUGUUUAAAAUAAAAAUAAAUUUAUUAGGUGAAAUUUUAAAUUUAUAUAAUUUUUUAUAUUUUUUAUUGAAGCUUGAAAAUUUUAGCAAUAAACUAGGAUUAGAUACCCUAUUAUUUAAAAUGUAAAUUAAUUAACUAAGGUAGUAUUAGUUAUAAUCUUGAAACUUAAAAAAUUUGGCGGUAUUUUAGUCUAUUCAGAGGAACCUGUCCUAUAAUUGAUAUUCCACGUUGGACCUUACUUAAAUUUGUUUAUCAGUUUAUAUACCGUCGUUAUAAGAAUAUUUUAAAAGAAUAAUAAUUUUCAAUAAUUUUUAUAAUAAUUUAUAUCAGAUCAAGGUGUAGCUUAUAUUUAAGUAGAGAUGGGUUACAAUAAAUUUAUUUUUGGAUUUAAAUAUGAAAAAUUUGAUGAAAUUGGAUUUGAUAGUAAAAUUAUAAAGAUUAAUAAUUUGAUUAUAGCUCUAAAAUAUGUACACAUCGCCCGUCGCUCUUAUUAAUAAGAUAAGAUAAGUCGUAACAUAGUAGAUGUACUGGAAAGUGUAUCUAGAAUUC
rnacentral:ncRNA from 1 species